GAAAUAUUUGAGAUACCUUGAGCUGAGCAUUCUGGCAGAACUGUCAUUGCAAUACCCACUAACAUAGACAUCUCCUUUUGCCGUGCAAAUGCCAGCCUACGAGUUUUCAUCAUUGAAACUUUCUCCAUAUUCUUAGCAAUUNUGAAGGGCAGUGGCGAUAUUCAAAGGGGAUAAAGGUGAAGGCCUUAAACCUUUUCCAACAGCCAUAAUCAUCUCGGCAGUAACUUCCAAAACUUCCUCUGCAGUCUGUGCCUCCACAAUUGCUC
rnacentral:misc_RNA from 1 species